rnacentral:rRNA from 1 species
CUACGGGCGGCUGCAGUGGGGAAUAUUGCACAAUGGACGAAAGUCUGAUGCAGCAACGCCGCGUGGAGGAUGACACAUUUCGGUGCGUAAACUCCUUUUAUAUAGGAAGAUAAUGACGGUACUAUAUGAAUAAGCACCGGCUAACUCCGUGCCAGCAGCCGCGGUAAUACGGAGGGUGCAAGCGUUACUCGGAAUCACUGGGCGUAAAGAGCGUGUAGGCGGGUUAAUAAGUUGGAAGUGAAAUCCUAUGGCUCAACCAUAGAACUGCUUCCAAAACUGUUAACCUAGAAUAUGGGAGAGGUAGAUGGAAUUUCUGGUGUAGGGGUAAAAUCCGUAGGGAUCAGAAGGAAUACCGAUUGCGAAGGCGAUCUACUGGAACAUUAUUGACGCUGAGACGCGAAAGCGUGGGGAGCAAACAGGAUUAGAUACCCGUGUAGUC